GCGUUGUCCCAUGCACGCCCAUUUGCCCAUUUUCCAGGGUAAUUGGGUGCUAUUUUUGAAGGACAUAUAGAAAUCAUGUGAACAAUCUUACCGAAACGUUUUGCUAAUUUUUUGGCACUGCUUUUCAUUUAAAUUGUUGAACAAUUAUGAA
ensembl:snoRNA snoRNA:2R:9445205